ensembl:lncRNA
UCCCAGGUGCUAGUGGUAAAGAACCCACCUGCCAACGCAGGAGACAAAAGAGACUCGGGUUUGAUCCCUGAUCAGGAAGAUCCAGAGGAGGAAAUGGCAACCCACUCCAGUAUUCAUGCCUGAGAAUCCCAUGGACAGAGGAGCCUGGUACUCCAACUCUACACAGCAGAGGAAUGGAUAAUUUUUCUGUGACUGGGACCGGGAAGAAUCACUGUGACACCCAGCCAGCUCUGCUCAGACCAUUUCUCAUCCCAAAAGCUGUCAACACAGGAAGUUAACCUUAAUGGCCCGUGAAUCCUUCUAUCAUCUGCUGCCCUCUAGUGGAG